UCGAGCUGAAGGACUCUGGGUCACCUCCCACCCGUGUUUAUUUUACCUUGUUGCUUCGGCGGGCCCGCCUUAACUGGCCGCCGGGGGGCUUACGCCCCCGGGCCCGCGCCCGCCGAAGACACCCUCGAACUCUGUCUGAAGAUUGAAGUCUGAGUGAAAAUAUAAAUUAUUUAAAACUUUCAACAACGGAUCUCUUGGUUCCGGCAUCGAUGAAGAACGCAGCGAAAUGCGAUACGUAAUGUGAAUUGCAAAUUCAGUGAAUCAUCGAGUCUUUGAACGCACAUUGCGCCCCCUGGUAUUCCGGGGGGCAUGCCUGUCCGAGCGUCAUUGCUGCCCUCAAGCCCGGCUUGUGUGUUGGGCCCCGUCCCCCGAUCUCCGGGGGACGGGCCCGAAAGGCAGCGGCGGCACCGCGUCCGGUCCUCGAGCGUAUGGGGCUUUGUCACCCGCUCUGUAGGCCCGGCCGGCGCUUGCCGAUCAACCCAAAUUUUUAUCCAGGUUGACCUCGGAUCAGGUAGGGAUACCCGCUGAACUUAAGCAUAUCA
rnacentral:rRNA from 1 species